rnacentral:rRNA from 1 species
UCUGGUUGAUCCUGCCAGUAAUCAUAUGCUUGUCUGAAAGAUCUAAACCAUGCAUGUCUAAGUUUAAAUCCUAGGAUGAUGAAACUGCGAACGGCUCAUUACAACAGCAAUAAACCUUCUGAAAGAUUCAAUUUAUUGAUUGGAUAACUGUAGGAAAUCUAGAGCUAAUACAUACAUAAAAUCUAUCGCAAGAUAGAUGUAUUUAUUAGAAACAAAGCUAGUCCUUUUAGGAUUAACAAAGAUGAUACAUAAUAAAGAUACUGAUCUUUAACAAUUUAUUGUUAGAGACAUAACAGAAGUGUUUCUGAUCUAUCAACUUUCGAUGGUAAUAUAAAGGAUUACCAUGGUUGUAACGGAUCACGGGGAAUUAGGGUUUGAUUCCGGAGAGGAAGCUUGAGAAUUGGCUACCAUUUCUAAGGAAGGCAGCAGGUGCGCAAAUUACCCAAUCUCAAUUCGAGGAGGUAGUGACAAGAAAUACUAGAAUAGUUAUCUUAACGAUGACUAUUUUUCGGAAUGAGAACAAUUUAAAAACAUUAACGAGUAACAACUAGAGGGCAAGUCUGGUGCCAGCAGCCGCGGUAAUUCCAGCUCUAGUAGUGUAUAUUAAAGUUGUUGUGGUUAAAAAGCUCGUAUUUGAACGUUACAUUUGUUGUUGGUUCCUCAUAUUAUUUGAGAGUAAUUAAACAAUGGAUGGAGAUAUUUAAUAAUAAUUUAUUAUUAUUGAAUCCUUACUUUGAUAAAAAUUGGUGGAUCAAACAAGACUUUAUGUCUGAAAAAUUUUGCAUGGGAUAAGAAAAUAUGGUCAAUAGCUUCAUUUAUAGCUUAUUGAAAUGUGACAAUGAUAAAAAGGGACAGUUGGGGUCACUCAUAUUUAAGCGGGAGGGGUGAAAUCCUAAGAUCGUUUAAAGAUGAACUAAAGCGAAAGCAUUUGACAAAUAUGUUUUCAUUGAUCAAGAACGAAAGUUGGGGGAGCGAAGAUGAUCAGAUACCGUUGUAGUCCUUUACCGUAAACUAUGUCGACUUAGGAUAAAAUUCCGUUACAUGGAUGACUUCUUUUGCACUAUAUGAGAAAUCAAAGUAUUCAGACUCCAGGGGGAAGUAUGGUCGCAAGGCUGAAACUUAAAGGAAUUGACGGAAGAGCACCACCAGGAGUGGAAUAUGCGGCUUAAUUCGACCCAACUCGGGAAAACUUACCAGGUCCGGACACUUGCAGGAUUGACAGAUUGAAAGCUCUUUCAUAAUUAUGUGAAUAGUGGUGCAUGGCCGAAUUUAGUUCGUGGAGUAAUCUGUCAGGU